AGAGUUUGAUCCUGGCUCAGGACGAACGCUGGCGGCGUGCUUAACACAUGCAAGUCGAACGGAAAGGCCCUUCGGGGUACUCGAGUGGCGAACGGGUGAGUAACACGUGGGUGAUCUGCCCUGCACUUUGGGAUAAGCCUGGGAAACUGGGUCUAAUACCGAAUAGGACCGCGCUCUUCAUGGGGUGUGGUGGAAAGCUUUUGCGGUGUGGGAUGGGCCCGCGGCCUAUCAGCUUGUUGGUGGGGUAAUGGCCUACCAAGGCGACGACGGGUAGCCGGCCUGAGAGGGUGACCGGCCACACUGGGACUGAGAUACGGCCCAGACUCCUACGGGAGGCAGCAGUGGGGAAUAUUGCACAAUGGGCGCAAGCCUGAUGCAGCGACGCCGCGUGAGGGAUGACGGCCUUCGGGUUGUAAACCUCUUUCAAUGGGGACGAAGCGCAAGUGACGGUACCUAUAGAAGAAGGACCGGCCAACUACGUGCCAGCAGCCGCGGUAAUACGUAGGGUCCGAGCGUUGUCCGGAAUUACUGGGCGUAAAGAGCUCGUAGGUGGUUUGUCGCGUUGUUCGUGAAAACUCACAGCUUAACUGUGGGCGUGCGGGCGAUACGGGCAGACUAGAGUACUGCAGGGGAGACUGGAAUUCCUGGUGUAGCGGUGGAAUGCGCAGAUAUCAGGAGGAACACCGGUGGCGAAGGCGGGUCUCUGGGCAGUAACUGACGCUGAGGAGCGAAAGCGUGGGGAGCGAACAGGAUUAGAUACCCUGGUAGUCCAA
rnacentral:rRNA from 1 species